GAGAAGUAGCCGAGCUUAUACAUGACUUCUAAUUAUGUAAAGAGAGGUUUAACUCCUUCCACUUCUCU
rnacentral:tRNA from 2 species